rnacentral:tRNA from 1 species
GGGUGUUUAGCUCAGCUGGUUCAGAGCAUCUGCCUUACAAGCAGAGGGUCGGCGGUUCGAAUCCGUCAACGCCCAC